GUUGCCAGCGGGUCAUGCCGGGACUCAUGGGAGACUGCCGGGGUCAAACUCGGAGGAAGUGGGGAUGACGUCAAAUCAUCAUGCCCCUUAUGUCUUGGGCUUCACGCAUGCUACAAUGGCCGGUACAAAGGGCUGCGAUACCGCGAGGUGGAGCGAAUCCCAGAAAGCCGGUCUCAGUUCGGAUUGGGGUCUGCAACUCGACCCCAUGAAGUCGGAGUCGCUAGUAAUCGCAGAUCAGCAACGCUGCGGUGAAUACGUUCCCGGGCCUU
rnacentral:rRNA from 1 species